rnacentral:rRNA from 1 species
UACGAAGGGGGCUAGCGUUGUUCGGAAUUACUGGGCGUAAAGCGCGCGCAGGCGGCUAUCCAAGUCAGUGGUGAAAGCCCGGAGCUCAACUCCGGAACUGCCAUUGAAACUGUUUAGCUUGAGGACGAGGGAGGUGAGUGGAAUUCCCAGUGUAGAGGUGAAAUUCGUAGAUAUUCAGAAGAACACCAGUGGCGAAGGCGACUCACUGGACACAUAUUGACGCUGAGGUGCGAAAGCGUGGGGAGCAAACAGG